UGUGGAAUAUUGCACAAUGGGGGAAACCCUGAUGCAGCGACGCCGCGUGAGCGAAGAAGGUUUUCGAAUCGUAAAGCUCUGUCCUAUGAGAAGAUAAUGACGGUAUCAUAGGAGGAAGCCCCGGCUAAAUACGUGCCAGCAGCCGCGGUAAUACGUAUGGGGCGAGCGUUGUCCGGAAUUAUUGGGCGUAAAGGGUACGUAGGCGGUCUAUUAAGUCAGGUGUGAAAGCGUGAGGCUUAACCUCAUUAAGCACUUGAAACUGAUAGACUUGAGUGAAGGAGAGGAAAGUGGAAUUCCUAGUGUAGCGGUGAAAUGCGUAGAUAUUAGGAGGAAUACCGGUGGCGAAGGCGACUUUCUGGACUUUUACUGACGCUCAGGUACGAAAGCGUGGGGAGCAAACAGG
rnacentral:rRNA from 1 species